UGCAUGUCUUGCAGAAAUAUGCAGGAACAACUUAAGUUCACCUCCAUAGGUGAACACCUCUAGCCAGCGAUAUGCCUCAGUAUGGAAUGCAGCAGAGCUAAGUCAAUGCCUUAAUUACAGUAAAACAAAGGACACUCCUCUUCACCUAUCUGCCUCCGCUGGUUGCAUGUACUCAUGUCUAUAAAUCAAGACUUGCUUUCAUUUAAGAAAUACACAGCAUAGUUAAGACUAAUGGUAAAUAAAGGUCAUUAAACUAGAUUGACUGGACAUUUAUGUCAAGGUAUGGCAAGUUCAUUUAUAUAAAUAAUCUUGAUUGUUUUAUAACAAGCAAAUACAAUUUCCUCCUCUGGGAGCAGGUGCGGGAGGUGGUUUUAUUUGGUUGUUUGGAUUCUGAAAGUAACAUUCUGAAUAUGGGUGGGGAAAACGAGGAGAAAAUUAAAGUUGUCAUACUACAAAGUGCUUUCUGUAUCUGGGCAAUGCAAUCUUCAUUUCAUCAAAGGCUAAAACCGAAAUCCUGUCACUUGAAAGCUAAGGGAUUUGCCGACUGAGGUGGGAGUCUGCAGUUAGAACCUCAGCACUAAACACACAUAGCUGUUUACCUUGCUGGUGCCCUUGGAUCUGCGAUAUCCCCUGGAGAGCUUUAGAAAGAACCAACAAACAUCUAAGAACUAUUGAGUCAAGUCUUACCUUCCUUGGUUUCACUGCAAUCAUACUGGGACCUCCAGAGAUGCCAGUUAGAACCUUUGUUGGCCAUUGAUCAAAGGAGCAACUGUGCUGAAUCGAAACCUAGGAUGUCUUUUCCUUGGGAUAUGUGUGAGUCAUACUGACAAUGCCUAGAGAGUUUUAAAUAACCUCAUUAAACCUCGUUUCACCUUCUUUGCUACCAGUUAUUGCUGCUAACUGCCACUUCCAUGGAUGUUUAUAGCCUCUCUGCACAGUACAAAACAUUUAAUGUGAAAGAAAUAACAUGCAGGCAAAUGACCCUGCAACCACUCCAAAAGGGAAAGACUUCAGGACCUCCUCGUGCCUGAGGAAGAAGCAAGAAUGGGUAUAUCUGAUAUUUUUCCCUCUCACAAAGCAGCUCAGGCCCUGUAUUGCUCUGUACUUUUGGAUGUAAUACACUUGUGUCACAUUGCUCUCAUGUGUGACUGUCUUCAGAUCUGAAAUCAUCUCUUCCUCCAGGUGGAACAUGCUUUUCUCCGUAGAAAGAUCUCAGUAUAGGGGCAGAAACUGACUGAAUCAUGGUCUGUAUUGCAUUUUCUUCUCCUUGGUCUGAGAGAAAUUGGACAGAAAUGAGUGUUAUGUUCCAACAGUCUCUCUUUAUGUUCAUUGUCCUGGGAUAUGAUGUGGGCAAAGUAACAUUCUGAUCUGCAGUUGUUGAAACAUGACAGCUGGUGCACAGUGUUCUUUCUUUGAUUAAGAAAGGCUUAAACAAAACUUGCGGGACAUCCAGACAGCUCUCCUUCACAGGCUAUGGUGUGAUACAAGAUGUUUCACUGAAGAAAAUGGAACUACUCUGAGAUCAGAAUCAGGUCCAAGGUGAAAGAACAAUGAGUUCUUCUCAACAAUUCUUCGUCAGGUCCAUAUGGAAAGUAGUUAUGCUGCAGAGCAGCGUCAAAACAGCUUAUUAGUUAUAUCCUUCUUCCCUUCUGAGGCAGUUUAAAGGUUUAUGCUGCAUUUGUAGCAUAAGUUUCCGUAAGAAACACAUUCUGUUUGCAGCACAUCAGACUUGUGAAUCCCAAAUUCAUAAUACCAGCUAGUGAAUUCUAGAUGCUGUCUUGGAAACAAUAGUUUUGAGACCUUGUACUUGGAUCUUCCUCAGCCCACCUUCCAGAUCAUGUCCAUAAAACCUCUCCCAUGAUACCCUUCUUGCUGUCAGUUCAUUUUCAUCACAUUAGUGGUCAUCCUCCCGUUGAACUGAGAAAGAAGAAUAGGAAGAAUGUAUUCACCAAUUCUAAUCCAUGCUGAACACAUUUUCAUACGCUUAGGCAUCUUGAAGUCGGUAGGAACAUUUGCAUCAAAGUGUUUGCUGCAGAUGCACUAACUCUUUCCCUGAGAGCAAGCUGAAGAGGUGGGAAGGUGCUCCAGCUCAUCGUGGAUAUCCUCCUACUGAUUUGCUUGGGAACAAACCUGGAUCCUAAUUCCAAAGAAUGUGUGGAUCAAGUUCCAUACACAUGAUGUAAGCAGGCCUCAAACAAGAUUCUCAUCUACACAUGGAACAGAAAUCAUGUGCAAAGAAAACAGAAAUGA
rnacentral:lncRNA from 1 species